rnacentral:rRNA from 1 species
UACGAAGGGGGCUAGCGUUGCUCGGAAUUACUGGGCGUAAAGGGCGCGUAGGCGGAUAUCUAAGUUGGGGGUGAAAUCCCGGGGCUCAACCUCGGAAUUGCCUUCGAAACUGGAUAUCUUGAGUUCGGGAGAGGUGAGUGGAACUCCGAGUGUAGAGGUGAAAUUCGUAGAUAUUCGGAAGAACACCAGUGGCGAAGGCGACUUACUGGACACAUAUUGACGCUGAGGUGCGAAAGCGUGGGGAGCAAACAGG